CCCUUAGAUGUUCUGGGCUGCACGCGUGCUACACUGAUAUUGCCAAUAUGUCAUUCUUAUCCGAAAUGGAUUGGGUAAUCAAGUAAUGAAAUUUCAUGCUUGGAAUCGGUAAUUGCAAUUUUAUCGUGAACGAGGAAUUCCUAGUAAGCACUAGUCAUCAGCUAAUGUUGAUUAUGUCCCUGCCCUUUGUGCACACCGCCCGUCGCUACUACUGAUUGGGUGUUCAAGUGAGAUGCUUAGACCCUUGUUGCAUGGUUCAUUAUUGUGCUCCGAAAGGAAAAAGUUUCAAGCUUGAGUGUCUAGAGGAAGGAGAAGUCGUAACA
rnacentral:rRNA from 1 species